GCAUCGGUGGUUCAGUAGUAGAAUGCUCGACUGCCAUGUGGACGACCCGGGUUCGAUUCCCAACCGACGUC